rnacentral:miRNA from 1 species
GUUCAACUUGCUCACUUGGAG